CUUCUUUGGCUCAAAGUGAAGGCUCAGUCCCCUGCACAAGCGGUGGUUCACCGCUGUGUUCUCAUCUCUCUUCCACCAGCGCCUCUCCCUGGGUUCACACUGAUGUCCUGUGGGUGGACAUGGGGCUUCCUGCACCUGGUCACUGCACAGCCCCUGUACCCUGAAGAGGAGGAGAACCAGCACUGUUCAGCCCCAAUAUGAUGUGAGCCUCAUGGGAAUCCCACUGUCUGGUCACUGCAUUAGAAAUACAAAGAGAAGCAGCAAAUGAGUUUCAAUAGUAUAUUUUAUUUACCUAGCAUAUCAAAAAUAUCAUGACUUUCAUAUGUAAUCUAAGUACAAUAAUGUAUGAGAAAUUUUCUAUUCUUUGCAUGGCUAUUAUUAUUAUUUGAAAAGUGUGAUGUGAAUGGCCUUCCUCUUUACAAGGAUGAGCUGUGGUGGCUUUUUAAGUGUCAAAAUUGAUAGGCUGAAGGAGGGGUGAAGAGAAUAAUUUAUUUGCACAGGAUGUGAAGGGUGGAGGUGGGCAGUGUCCACCUCCCUCAGAUCUCAGAGCACCUGGCAUCCCGGCAUCUCCAGGCUCCUGCUUCAGGAGGGCCCAGAGUGACAGCCUUUUCCCACAGUGCGGAUGCAGGUUCAUCCCUCAUUCCAGGAGCCUUGAGCGGUUUGGCCGAAGGCACCCCCAGGUACCCCAGGGCAGCCCAGGGCAGACCCUACCAGGCCAGACCUCACCAGUGAUCCCAUCUGGGCCACAUCUGCAUAUCGUCCUUGUCCAUCUGGAGCCUCUGGAGUUCCUCAAAGCACAGGCACAUGGUGAGGGGCCUGUAGUCUCAGAGACUUUCUGGGUGCAGUGUUUUUAGGCUGGAAUUAUUUAAAUUCAGUGAGGCUGUUUCUGUAUGUGGAAAUUCCAGGAAAAUGACUGUCAUUGGUGAAUCUUUCUUCUUUUCCAGCUCCUGUCCAUGUGCAGCAAUACAGGACCUUCCAGAGCGCUGACGAGGCCAUGCCAGCACCAGCGGAAGAGCCCCCUUCCGGGACAGUACUGGAGCUACAGGCAGCUCCUGCCCCUGUCCUAAGGAGCUGCCUAACAUUGUGGCACCUGCUCUAGCCACUAGCCUCAGCCCUAGAGCUGAAAGCAUGACUGGAGCAAGAGGUGGGAGAGAGGGGGUGGCCAUCCCGGCCCCAGCCAGCAGCUCCCCUGCUGCUCUGUGUCCUGGACACGGUGGGAGACAUGGAGGCCAAGACCAGGGUGUACGGCCUGGGCUCCUCUGCCUCAAUGGAGAGAGGCUUCUGUCAUUUGGCUGAGCUGCAGCCCUGCAGCUGAAGGACCUGCUGCUGCUGCUGCUGCUGGGGUUGUUUGCUGCCUGCAACAGGCGCUGGAGAGCAGGAAAAGAAGCCUGGGAGGAGGGGUCCCUAAUGUCAGAUGGUGUUUUUGAGGCUAUCCUGAAAAUCUCUGAUAGUCAUGUCUCUUUGUUGUGGUUGUUUGUACGAUGAAAUUACCACCUAAUCAACUGUUACUGGAAACCUUUCAGGUAUGGUUUUUAGAAGAACUUGACCUAUUUUUGGUUUUUUUUCGCUCUCGUUUAUUGUGGAAAGAGGGAUCAUUUAGGUUCAUUCGUCCUGCAGAUCAAUUGCCUUUUGCCAUCAAAGAUUUGGCAUCACAGGGUUUCCAAAAAUUACGUGUACAAGUUGGUAUGUUGGUACUUUAGCUAAUCUGGAUGUCAAAACAAUGUCAUAGACUAGGUCGCAGAGAAACAAAUUUAUUUCUCAUGGUUCUGGAGAUGGUAAAAUCCAAGGUCACGUGGUCAGCAGAUGUCAUGUCUGGUGAGGGCUUGCUCCUGGUUCGUAGACUGCCAUCUGUUUACUGUGUCCUCACAUGACAGAAAGAAUCAGGGAACUCUCAGCUGUCCCUUUGAUAGGGACACUGAUCCCAGUCAUGGGGGCUCUGGUUUCAUGACCUAAUCACCUUCCAAGGUCUCAUUUUCAAAUCCCGUCACAUAGAGAAUUAGAUUUUAACACAAGAAUUUGAGGGGACAAUAAGAUUUGAUCUCUAGAAUCAGGUCACCCUGAGCCCUUUGCACCUACAGGAAAUUUCUGAUCUUCUAUAACUCUUUGCUGGUGGCUCUGGGUUGAGGGAAAUAUUUAAUUGCAGCUCUUGAUUCAGCUCGGUCGAAACUUAAAUUCUCCAUUUGCCCACAUAACUUGUUCAUGGGACACAGGGAACUUUAGUGGCAAAUGGCCAUUUGGAAUUUUAGGAGGAUUGAUGGCGGAGGGCUUGGGACGUGGGUGAGAAGUGGAGGGAGGAGAAGAUGAAGGUGCAGAGGAGAGACAGCAGAAUGUGAAAGGGGAAGGGGAACUCUGGAUAGAAGUGUCAGCUAGAGGGCAAGGAAGGUGAUUUUUCCUGCAUUCUAAACCCGGAUCCAAUAUCAAGUCAGCACCACCUGAGGAAUACAUUUUUUCAAUCCAUAGUCCUAGGUUCUGGAAAUUUCGAUUUUAUAAAUCUGAAGGUGUACCAAUUUAUAUGUAUUCAUGAUAAGAAUUUUGGAUAAUUCUGAUAAAAUUAGACAACCAAGCAGAGCUUGAUAACCACUGGCUUGGGACAUAUAUCUGGAAGACACUUGAUUAUAUAAAAUAAUCACGGAAAACUGAGGAGGAAUUGUUUAUUUAAAAAUGCUUGCAUGUAAUUCAACUCUGCCUGGACGUGUAGUUUGGCCACAUAUCGGGUCUCUACACUACUAAAAUUGGAAAUGUGCAGGACGCUUUUAAAAAAUCAAGUAGACAGAAGGAGUUGGAGAGAAAAGAAAACUGACAAUUGUCUGUGAAGAGGAGAAGAGAAGGGGAAGGGAGUAGCACAUUUUUGUACAUGAUUUGAUGGCAUCUAAAUUAUAAGCCCAAACAGUGUUUCUCAGAAAGUCAAUAAUACAGGUUUUCAGAGUGUAGUGCCAACAGUGACUUCCUGGGACAGAGAAGUACUCUGUCUUGCUCUGUAAUGUUCAACAGACACAAAAGAAAGAGCCAUUCUGUAAGCAGUGUGAGCUGUAUUGCUGCUGAAUUAUUUUAUCUCAUGCCCAGGUGAAAAUGAAAGGGCUCUAAAGUGCUUAGGAUGAACACGAAGUCCUCAGCUGUCGGUAACAUCUCCGGGAGCCGCAUUAUCAGAGGUCCCUGGUGUUUUCUUGUGGAAAUAUAUAUGGAAUACAUAUGGAAUUUCAGGUGAUUGGCAUCUGAAUGUUUAAAUGUAGCAGGUAUGGUGAGUUUUCCAAAGACAUUUUUCCAGCUUCCCUGUCCAUCAGAGACUCACAAGAUACUACGUAGAACCACAGCCUCUCCAACAACCUCUAGUACCAGUCUUUGUAAAGUGUGUCAAUUAAAUGGGUUUAGGUUUUGUAUCUAUUAUUAAAAGAAAAUGGAAUACCUAGCCUUCAAAUGCAAGGCAUGCAGAGGCACGGGUUUAAAGUGUGUCCCGACCCUAGAAUUUAAAAAUCCCAUUUGUGCCUCCACUGUUCACUAAGAAAUUUCCUUAAGAAUCUAGAGACCAGACAUUCCUUUGAGAAACCACUCCAAUAUGGUUUCUCACCUACUCACUUUAAGAAAAUUGCUCUUAUCAAAUCACAAAUGAAAUCCAUAUUGUUAAAUUAUGAACUGAAGCAUAAUUCCUCAGCCUUUGUCUUAAUUUAUGUAUCAGCAGCAUUUAAUGCAGUGGAUCUCUCCUGUUUUUCCCAAAACGUUCUUUGAUAGAAUUCCAGAACACUUUCCCUGCAUUACCUCUUGACGUUUUUGAUAAUUACCCUUAGGACUUUUCUGCUGCUUUCUUCUCAGGUUUACUACUUUUUAAGUGCUAGAUGACCACGAGGCUCAGGACUUUGACUUCUCUUUAUCUCUGUUUUCUUACGAAUUUUUGUGUCAUUCAUUUCCCGAUAUUUUAUAUUAUACCAUAACACCAGACUACACCCAACACUGUCUGACUUCUCCACCUGGAUGUCUGUUAGAAAUGUCAAAAUUAAUAAGUCCACACGGAGCCACUGACGCUCCGCAAACUUGCUCUUCCCCAUUCUGUUUAAUAGUAACUCCCAUUUUAUGGUUUCUCAGCUCGUUAUGCUUGGGGUCCCCUUUUAAUUCGCUCUGUCUCUGCAGCUCUGUCUUGUCUCUCUGUAUCUGUCUGGUUCUCAUCCUCUCUUUCUCCUCUUCACACACACACACACACACACACACACACACACACACGCACAUUUUCAGAUCUGACAUGUAUGAAAAUUCUGCCAGCUUUACCUUUAAAGUGCAGUAAUUCCAAAUGGUAUUUUCAAAUUCUGUAUCCGUCUGGUUCUUAUUCUCUCUCCCUCUUUCUAUCCUGCCAGGUUUACCUUUAAAGUGCGGUAAUUCCAGAUGGUAUUUGCUGAGUCACCUUCCCACCCUCACUGCGUGGUGACGGUAGUACUUCUCUCACAAGGCCAAAGCUCUACUGCAGAGAUUUAUUGGGGGAAAUAAUGAGAACUAUUACACAAUCUUGUUUCAGGGGCACUGAAAAUACAGGCUAGCCAAAGUCUAUAUGAAUUUAAGCUUCUAUCAUUGCGCUAUUUUUCAAUCCAGUCUCCACACAACAAACACAGUAUGCAAUCAGAGUUCCAUCCAUAUCACAACACUCCUGUUUUGUUUUUUCUUUUUUUGAGACAGAGUCUCACCUGUUGCCAGGCGCCAGGCUGGAGUGCAGUGGCACAAUCUCGGCUCACUGCAACCUCCGCCUCCCAGGUUCAACACUCCUGUUUUAAAGUCCCUAAUCAAUGACUUCUUUUCUUCCUCUUUACACUUUAAGCUUAACGAAGCUGGGCAACUACGUGUAUUUUUCCGCUGACCUAUCUUCAGAGCUGGAGAUCACUUGGUGCAAGCUACAAGGCGGAUGUUAAGACCGUUCUUCUCUCAGCCCUCACUGGAUCAUUGCCCACUUGGUGCGACCUUCCUUAUCCAUUUGCCACUCCCUCUCCCUCUAAUUUACCACCUACGGGGAGCCUCUAUUCCUGAUAUACUAAAGCUCUCACGAAACUCAGAGGAAGUGGAUGAGGAUGAAAGUCAUAAGCCUGUGACACACGGCUGUCUUGAGCAGACACAAGAUCCAAUCAAACAGAUGGUCCACGUAUGUUCUUAUCCAAAGAAAGAGCUCAGGCCACUAGAGGAGGUGAAAUACAGUGACCCUCACAAGGAGACCUCCACCCAGAACACACGCUGCUGCAAUUUUCCAACUUCACAUGACCCUGAAAACCAGGACCGUUAAACCACAUCCUGUGGGACACCCUGGACUGACACUUUUUUUUUUAGUGGUCUCAGAACUGAUACUGGUUUUUAUAUUUUAUAUGUUUUAAUGAUUACAGUGCUAUCAGUACCUAUGGAUUAUCCCCAAAGUUGACCCCUGUGUGGCAAAGGCUAAAAUACUUCUUAUCUAGACGUUUAAGAAAAAGUUUACCACAUCCUAAAAAACAAUGAGCACUGAAAUAGUAAAGGCCCAGCCUCAAGCAAACUAGAAGAAAUCAAAAAUCAAAGUGUAACAAGAUAAUUUUUAUAUGUGAUAGGUUGGCCAAAAUUGGCACUUUUACCAAUAAAUUCCAAUCAAUACUUAGGACUGGCAUUGUAAACUGGUAGGUCCCCUCUGGAGGGCAGUGUGAAAACAAUAGGUAAAAAUCGCUAAUGCACAUGAUUUUGAUCCAGCAAUUUCACUUCUGGAAAUUUAUCCUGUGGUCAUGUGCACGCAUGAACUCAAGGGACUCUGCAUAGGGAGGCUCGCUGCAGUGUUAUUUGUGCUUGGGAAACCACAGAGCAGGUUUCCUUUUGGACUUUUUGGUAAGAAAGGAGAGGAGCUGAGAGAGAGGAAUUCUCAAGGCCGUGCUGCAGGAAGCCCCUGGCACGGGGUGAUGAAGCAUCUUCAGAGCAAGGGAGAGCCAGAGAGCCACGGGCAAGUUUGGGUCUCAGUUCCCCAUGAACUUGGACCACUGUGGGAAGUGCCACCUCUCCUAUAGGAGCUGCAGUAAUAAUCAGCAUCUUACCCAUCCUAGAGCCCAUAGAUGGUC